rnacentral:piRNA from 1 species
UAGAGUCGCCGCACUUUGUCGAAAAGACUUU